rnacentral:rRNA from 1 species
UACGAAGGGGGCUAGCGUUGAUCGGAUUUACUGGGCGUAAAGCGCACGCAGGCGGAUUUUUAAGUCAGAGGUGAAAUCCCAGGGCUCAACCCUGGAACUGCCUUUGAUACUGGAUGUCUUGAGUAUGGAAGAGGUGAGUAGAAUUCCGAGUGUAGAAGUAAAAUUCGUAGAUAUUUGGAGGAACACCGGUGGCGAAGGCGGCUCACUGGUCCAUUACUGACGCUGAGGUGCGAAAGCGUGGGGAGCAAACA